CUUUCCCAGUUCGCCGUGUACACCCGCAGCUCCCCGACACCACGGCGACCCCCCCCGGGUACCGGGCUCGCCUCCUCGAGGGGGAAAAGGCCUGAGGCGGCCCCCGGGGGGUGGCUGCGGGGAACGGGUUAACGGCGGAGGCGGGGGCCCGGCCCGGCCCUACUUAAGGCGGUGGCGGGCGCGGGGCGGCUCCGUGAGAUGGCGGCUCCGCGCCGGCCGAGCGGCGGGGGGCUGCGGCGGGCCCCUCAGGACGGGCGGCUGGAGGAGAUCAACAAGGAAUUUCUCUGUGACCCGAAGUUCAGUGAUGAAGAAGACCUGGAGGAGAAGCUGGCGGUGUUCAAAGAGAAGUACAUGGAGUUUGACCUGAACAACCAAGGCGAGAUCGAUCUGAUGUCCGUCAAAAGGAUGAUGGAGAAGAUGGGGGCUCCGAAGACCCACCUGGAACUGAAGAAGAUGAUCUCUGAGGUGACCGGCGGGGUUAGCGAGACCAUCUCCUACCAGGACUUCGUCAACGUGAUGCUUGGCAAGCGCUCCGCUGUACUGAAGCUCCACAGAGGCUGGCCCUGCUUUUGUUUGUUACCACCGUGAAUAGGAGCUGCUCCUCUCCAUCCCGCUUGCCCCUUUCUGAAGGCAGCUUUAGAAAGGCAGCCAGCUUUCUCCCAGGUUGGGAGGAAGGAUACCGGAGCUUGUUCCCUCCGAGCUGGGUUAUGAUGUUUGAAGGAAAAGCCAAUGAAAGCAACCCAAAACCUUCUGGUCCGCCUCCAGAGAGAGACAUAGCCAGCCUCCCUUGAAGAGAGCAGGCUGGGAAAUUGGCACUGUUUGCUUUGCUGGCCUGUAACAGGGGUUACCUGUGCUUUGGUACUCUUUACUGUGGACAGUCCUAGUUUUCAACUAACCUGCCUUAGAGGAACAGCAAGGGAAGCUGGAGUCCCCAGCUUGGGUCUUUCUGCUGCACCCCUUAGCUAACUUGAUUUGUUAGAAGCUGUAGCACCAAGUGUAAUGCGAGACGACAAAAAAACAAACAAACAAACAAAAAAACAAAUCUGAUCUCACUCUUUCCUCUGCCCUUCCUGCAUUUCUCACAUGAAAAGGAGCUACUUUCCUCCCAGCUCACGGAUUCAGAGCUGUGCUUGUCACAACAGGUUCCUGAAGGGCUUUUCUGCCAGACACUGAGUGCUUCCCUGGUAGAGCCCCUACAGCAGCUUCAUUGGUGCAAAGAAAUAAGUGCCUUCUCUGCUCUGUCAUGUGCUUCCUGACUUUGGUCUAGUUUCUUCCCUCCUGACCUGAUCAAACCCAAGUCAGGCUCCCACCUCUGUGGCCUAGGUGUGUGCUGGGUGAACACGGGGAGGUGCAUUGACACCAGAGGUCUGCCAGCAGGGACUUUACGCUUGGAAGUGGGCAUGGCUCACUGCACAGAAAGGCUUCUGUGUGCUCCCUGGGUUCAUCCUGCAGUCAGAUCUUGGGGCUGAGCCAAGUGAGCUGUUUAAAACAACAAAAAAAUCAUUUUCCUGUGUCCCCUACUCAGAUCCUUCUCCCAGAUCUAAGUGUCCCCAUCAGCCCUGGGAGUAAGUUCUGCACAAUCAGCAUGUGAUGUCCUUGAUGUGCCUGGGUCCUCUACUUCUGGAAGACCCUUGUCUGCUGCCGAGGCUAGGAUGUUGUAAGGGAACAUUUCUUUAGCUGCUAAAUUCAGUGAGGACUUUUGUUUGGGCUUCACCUUGAACCAAAUGCAUAUCACAGGUGCUUAGACUAGGGCCAAGGUGCCCUUCUGUUUUGGAGGCCCGUUUAUCAGGCCCUUCCACUGUAGUUUGCCUUAGGACAGGGUCAAACCUAAGCUGUCAGCAGGAACGUGCUCUGCAGAUAACCCUGCAGCCAAUAUCCUGCUGGCUUCUACGAGAAAUUAGGUUAGCAAUGGGCAGGAAUUGUCUUCAGGUAGUAGCUGUUUGACUGCUGGCUACAAGGCAAAGACAAGAACCCUCCACAGGAUGCUACAAACCAAAGGCUGACAGACUGGAGGAGUCUGGCAACCCUGGUGGAUAAACCCACAUGAAAACUGAGGUACUUGGAAGCUAAAGAAAUAAGUUCUGCCAAGUCUCUUUUUCAGCUGAGGAAAAACCACCGACCCAUUUAGCAUUAGGUCUUUCCCACUGCCUCUUUCUGGCUUGCUCUUCUUUUUCCUUGGUCUCUGAGACUUGUUGAUCAGCCAUAGCAAGAGAGGCAAACAGUAAGAUAAGUCACAGCCCUGAACUAAAAAGGGGCGAACUGAAACCCUAUCCUGGGGAGGGGAGCCCAACACCAGCAAGUGAGGACAAUUAAAGCUAAUUUAGGGUCCUCUUCCUGAUAAAUCUCUGCUUGGAUCAGACCAGGAGCAUAAUCUCUGAACAGGUAGUUGUCUGUCCUGUCCAUCAAGUGUAGAAACAAGCCUGCUGUUACGCCUUUGCAGUCCCUCAGGAAGGCUUAGGGGGAAAAUGGAAGCUUCAAGUGAAAGGAAGCUCUUUGGCCAAACUGAGCCCUGCAAGUUUCUUCCAGACCAGCUAAGGAUGAGGAUCUUUCUUCAUGCAGCUGCUCUUUCUGAUUUUGUAGACUUCUCUGCGUGUGUUUCAGCUUGGUCCCGUGGGACUAUUGGGCACACUUUCCUGAUAUAUAAGACCUCAAGCUUGCAAAAUAAGAGUGGCUGUAAAUGCAGAGUAAGAGCUGGGACCAGGUGUAGCUGGGACUGUGCUAUCCACACUCUGGUUAUUGCAGUGAUUCUUGCUCUAUACACAACUUCUGGAAUCCAGAUGUUUGCUCUUUGCCCUUCCCCAUUUUUUCUUAAAUGUUCUUGGCAGCUUUUAACUUUUUAAAAUCACAGUUUAAUAAAUUUUAAAGGAAAAUACAGAUGAUUAACUCUACUAGGCUUAUUGUUCCUGCCAAAGGCUGCACUUUUAUUUAAAAAACAUUCUCACUACUGUUUGCAUGAAAACCAAAACUGCAAUGGAGAGAGAAAAAUUGUAAGAACGGCGCCAGUCUACUUUGAAGACUGAAAAUAAAUCUUUUGAAGCUA